UACGUAGGGAGCAAGCGUUGUCCGGAAUCAUUGGGCGUAAAGCGCGCGUAGGUGGCUUCUUAAGUCAGGGGUGAAAUCCUGGAGCUCAACUCCAGAACUGCCUUUGAUACUGAGAAGCUUGAGUUCGGGAGAGGUGAGUGGAACUGCGAGUGUAGAGGUGAAAUUCGUAGAUAUUCGCAAGAACACCAGUGGCGAAGGCGGCUCACUGGCCCGAUACUGACGCUGAGGCACGAAAGCGUGGGGAGCAAACAGG
rnacentral:rRNA from 1 species